UACGAAGGGGCUAGCGUUGCUCGGAAUCACUGGGCGUAAGCGCACGUAGACGGCUUUUAAGUCAGGGGUGAAUCCUGGAGCUCAACUCCAGAACUGCCUUUGAUACUGAGGAUCUUGAGUUCGGGAGAGGUGAGUGGAACUGCGAGUGUAGAGGUGAAUUCGUAGAUAUUCGCAAGAACACCAGUGGCGAAGGCGGCUCACUGGCCCGAUACGUGACGCUGAGGCACGAA
rnacentral:rRNA from 1 species